rnacentral:lncRNA from 1 species
GGGUGACGGGGCAGCCGGUGUCACCGCGCUGGUCCCUGCGGAGCCGCCAGGAGGGGACGCGAGAGCCGGGGUCUGGUGCCGAGCCUUGGAGCAAAGGGGACAGAGCCGGGACUGGCCUGGCACUGCUGGGACACUCCUGCAACAUCAACCACCGGUGCCACGCUGACCUGCAGAGGAUGUCUUGGCAGGGGCAGAGAGCCUGUGUGGGCCAGGAGUGGCUGGACAAGGAGAAAACUUCACAAGAAGAGAAACUGGAGCUGCUGGAGAGGCUGCGGGAGCUGGAGCAGGGCAGCCGGUCCCUCCUGCAGCAGCGGCUGCGGCUCCUGCAGCGGCUCCAGGGGCUGCUCCAGAGGGACAAGGCGGAGACCCUUCGGCAGCUCCGGGAGGCCCUGGAGCAGGUCUAUGGAAUCCCAGCAGCAUCCUGAGCUGGAUCAUCCCAGACUGGAUCAUCCUGGCACGGCUUUGGGAUACGGCAGCGUUCAGUGUGGCAGGGCCAGAAUUUUGGAAUCAUUCAAGUGCUCAAGUUACCUAAACCUUU